rnacentral:rRNA from 1 species
GACGAACGCUGGCGGCGUGCUUAACACAUGCAAGUCGAACGGAAUCCAUGGUGUAGCAAUACACCGGAAGAUUUAGUGGCGAACGGGUGAGGAUCACGUGAGAAACGUGCCCCAGACUCUGGGAUAACAAUUGGAAACGAUUGCUAAUACCGGAUGACGUCGGAGAAUCGCAUGAUUCACUGACGAAAGAUAUUUCGGUUUGGGAGCGUCUCGCGGCCUAUCAGCUUGUUGGUGGGGUAAUGGCCUACCAAGGCAACGACGGGUAGCUGGUCUGAGAGGAUGAUCAGCCACACUGGGACUGAGACACGGCCCAGACUCCUACGGGAGGCAGCAGUGGGGAAUCUUGCGCAAUGGGCGAAAGCCUGACGCAGCAACGCCGCGUGCGGGAUGAAGGCCAGUUUCGGGCUGUAAACCGCUUUCAGCAGGAACGAAAAUGACGGUACCUGCAGAAGAGGA